rnacentral:piRNA from 1 species
UAAGGUACCUUAUUGACUUCGGUCAGUGAGU